rnacentral:tRNA from 1 species
GCCACCGUAGCUCAGUUGGCCAGAGCGGAGCUUUCGUAAAGCUCAGGUCCGGGGUUCGAGUCCCCGCGGUGGCU